GUCCGCAUAGCUUAACACCAAA
rnacentral:tRNA from 2 species